rnacentral:rRNA from 1 species
GACGAACGCUGGCGGCGUGCCUAAUACAUGCAAGUAGAACGCUGAAGGAGGAGCUUGCUCUUCUGGAUGAGUUGCGAACGGGUGAGUAACGCGUAGGUAACCUGCCUGGUAGCGGGGGAUAACUAUUGGAAACGAUAGCUAAUACCGCAUAAGAGUAGAUGUCGCAUGACAUUUGCUUAAAAGGUGCAAUUGCAUCACUACCAGAUGGACCUGCGUUGUAUUAGCUAGUUGGUGAGGUAACGGCUCACCAAGGCAACGAUACAUAGCCGACCUGAGAGGGUGAUCGGCCACACUGGGACUGAGACACGGCCCAGACUCCUACGGGAGGCAGCAGUAGGGAAUCUUCGGCAAUGGACGGUAGUCUGACCGAGCAACGCCGCGUGAGUGAAGAAGGUUUUCGGAUCGUAAAGCUCUGUUGUAAGAGAAGAACGAGUGUGAGAGUGGAAAGUUCACCACU